rnacentral:lncRNA from 1 species
UUCAUUUGGCACUGGUCUUAACAAAUUUCACUGAGUACAUAAUUAGUUAUGGUAUAAUCUUUACACACUGUUCCGGAUGCACUAACUCUGUGUCCAGUUUAGGUUCACUUGAAAUUUUCAUCAUCUUACCUACAGAUUCAGAAUUUGGUCAAUUCAUGAAAGUUUUAGCUCUUUGUUUCAGAUUUCAUUUGGUAUAUCUUAG